GACGAACCGUGCGAACGUUAUUCGGAAUCACUGGGCUUAAAGCGCGUGUAGGCGGGACGGCACGUCGGUCGCUGAAAUCCCCCGGCUUCAACCGGGGAACUGGCGUCGAUACGACCGCCCUGGAGGGGCGUAGGGGGACCUGGAACUUCCGGUGGAGCGGUGAAAUGCGUUGAGAUCGGAAGGAACGCCCGUGGCGAAAGCGAGGUCCUGGACGCCUACUGACGCUGAGACGCGAAAGCCAGGGGAGCGAACGGG
rnacentral:rRNA from 1 species